ensembl:miRNA
GUUGGUGCAAAAGUAAUUGCGGUUUUUGCCCUUGAAAGUAAUGACAGAAACCACAAAUACUUUUGCAGCAAU